UUCCAUGCCACGCUAUUUGUUGUCCACGUAACGCGACCUAAAAGGUUGUUCCCCUCAUCUCUCAUCUCUCCACGCCUCACGACCUACCUAAAGGCGAGGGCGCCGCCGCCGCAACCCCGACCGGAGAUGCUCCAGCGUUUUGACGCGCACGGCCGUCCCCCGCCGGCAUCUGCGCCCCGUACGCCGGCAUGCUUCGGGAUUUCCCGGCUUGCGUCGCCUGUGGAUCGAGGAGCGGGAGGCCCGGAGCGCCUGUCAUCCUUCAGAAAUUCCCCAUGGCAGAGACGGUGCGAUGGUAGCUGACUUAUAUGGUCGGCCUCUGUCGAUGUGUAACGGCAAACUGGUCCGGUGAGUUGAUCUGACUGAUGGGAAGUACGGUGCAUCGCCGCCCUGCUCCGGUAAAUGUUCUAUGUAGACUCCAGGCAGGCAGUAUAGUUCUCGUAGAUCUGUUCGAGGAGCAUCCCUCUAUGGCGUUGACCGCCACAGAUCUGAAGGUACCGGUGGGCGACUCAGAUCUGCAAGGAGACGUGCGGACCUCCAUUACUAGACCCACGGCAAGUGUCUGAUGCAUGCUAUCGGCGAUGUGAUUCAGCGAUGUAAUUUUGUGCUAAUGAUGCGGCUGCGGUGGCACGUUGGCCCGGAUCUAGCUUUCUCAUGUACCCAUCCCUGCCUGGUGCAAUUGUUAGUGAUGCCGCUGCAAAGCCCGGCCUAGAUCUGUUAUAAUAUAUGUUGGUCUUUGCUGAUGAAGGCAGGAGUCUGCUCAGAUGCGUGAUACAGGAGGAUGACCUCGGCUUGCAAGUUUGUUUGGUGUGCAUUGGUUGUAGUUAUACUGCCUCGAGGGCCUUGGAAGCACCAGGAUGAUGCGAUGGUUGCCAGAGGAGAUCAAUUGCUUCACUUGAAGGUUGGGCAGGCCGUUGAUAAAACAGCACCAAGUUAAGUUGAAUGUUUUGUCGAUAAGUCAAGUUACUAAUUGAUUAUUAUGUCUGACGACUUAAACUUGUCUGUGACGGCUGUUCAGGUAAUUAGUUGAAUUAUGUACAUUGUGCUGCUAGCCGUUGUACAAUAAUUAUUGGGAGUUAUAAUGUGUACCAUUGAAAUUUUGUUGUAUCUGCUAUACAUGUCUAUUAUUUCAAAAUAAGCUUUUCAUAUUCAUGAUAUGCAAUUGUAAUAUUUAUCAUGGAAAUUUUUGGUGUGCACUGUUUGAUUAAACGGUGGCUUAGAAAUUUAUACAACUAGCAAAUUUAACACAGAACAAUAUUGCUAUCAUACAAUUGUAGUAUUUUAUAUGAGUAGCUAUUGAGCUAGUCAUGGACACGAGUGCGUGGAAGUUAGCUAUCCAAGUGCUAGAACCAUGAGUUGGUUUCGAGACCUUAUGCGUUUCAGCUCUACCCUACACCAACUUGUACUAAAGGCUCUGUUGUUGUUGUUACACAAUCAUCAUAAUUUCUAUGUGUGCAGCCACUAGAUAGUUAUUAUGUGAAAUUUCUAGUGUAUAUCAUUGCAAAUUUAGUUGUACUUGCUAUCGAUGUCUAUAGUUCUAUAUUGAUGAGAAAAAUGUUGUACCGAUUCAUAAUAUGCAAUUCAAAAUCUCAUCAUCGAAAAUUUUGUAUACAUCAUUUGCCAAAAUGAUGGCUUGAACAUGGUUACUUGUUAUUCAUGUAACUAGCAGAAUUAACCACAAAACUAUACUGCUGUUGUACAAGAUAAUGAUUGUGCAGUUAUCAUACAUUUACCGUUGAUUUUCUAUGGUAUUGAUUUUUUUUGCGUUAUGUCUAUACAAUUAGUUGUACACAAUUAAUUUUUCUAUACCAGUACGUAUGAAUUAUCUUUCUAUACUAGUAAUGCCUAGGACCACCUCCUACCACUAAUUUUUUAAUCGGUUGAGCAAUAGUACUCCAUUAUACGUCCCUAUUUCUAUAAUUGAUUUGUUCAUCUGAGAACUUUAUUCUGCAGGUACGCAUCGGACUCGAUGCCCUUUAUCCCUGCGUAACAUACAAUUGAAGGGCCUGAAAAACUAGAGAUGGGAAGGAUUUCACAGAAGAAAUUCGAGACUUUCAAGAGUUUUUUUUUGAGGCAUUUCAUUAUUUAGAAAUGAUGUUAUUCAAGUGUUAACAUACACAUGUUCCAGGAUCUCAACAUACUGUUUGGGAGCAGAAAAUGAGUAAGCCAAACAUUAAAAAGUAUGCCUUUAAAUCGAGGAUAGGUUUAAUAUGUUUUGUUCAAAGUCAAGUCACUACUUUAUCUCCAGACCUAUAAACAAUAGGUCUCAAUUCGGGAGGAAGAACCGGUAUUGUGGUCAGCCCAUGGUAUGUGCUGCUGCAGUGUAAUCUAGGUGU
rnacentral:rRNA from 1 species